UACGGAGGGUGCAAGCGUUAUCCGGAUUCACUGGGUUUAAAGGGUGCGUAGGUGGGCAAGUAAGUCAGUGGUGAAAUCUCCGGGCUUAACCCGGAAACUGCCAUUGAUACUAUUUGUCUUAAAUACUGUGGAGGUCAGCGGAAUAUGUCAUGUAGCGGUGAAAUGCUUAGAGAUGACAUAGAACACCUAUUGCGAAGGCAGCUUACUACGCAGAGAUUGACGCUCAUGCACGAAAGCGUGGGGAUCAAACAGGA
rnacentral:rRNA from 1 species